rnacentral:tRNA from 1 species
UAUUUUAGUAUAAAUAGUAUAUAAAUUUUUGGGAUUUAUGGUAAAGUUUAGAAUUUAAGUAUAG